GUGGGGAAUAUUGGACAAUGGGCGAAAGCCUGAUCCAGCCAUGCCGCGUGUGUGAAGAAGGUCUUCGGAUUGUAAAGCACUUUAAGUUGGGAGGAAGGGCAGUAAGUUAAUACCUUGCUGUUUUGACGUUACCGACAGAAUAAGCACCGGCUAACUCUGUGCCAGCAGCCGCGGUAAUACAGAGGGUGCAAGCGUUAAUCGGAAUUACUGGGCGUAAAGCGCGCGUAGGUGGUUCGUUAAGUUGGAUGUGAAAGCCCCGGGCUCAACCUGGGAACUGCAUCCAAAACUGGCGAGCUAGAGUACGGUAGAGGGUGGUGGAAUUUCCUGUGUAGCGGUGAAAUGCGUAGAUAUAGGAAGGAACACCAGUGGCGAAGGCGACCACCUGGACUGAUACUGACACUGAGGUGCGAAAGCGUGGGGAGCAAACAGGAUUAGAUACCCUUGUAGUCC
rnacentral:rRNA from 1 species